rnacentral:rRNA from 1 species
GAUGAACGCUGGCGGCGUGCUUAACACAUGCAAGUCGAACGAAGCACUUUAUUUGAUUUCCUUCGGGACUGAUUAUUUUGUGACUGAGUGGCGGACGGGUGAGUAACGCGUGGGUAACCUGCCUUGUACAGGGGGAUAACAGUUGGAAACGGCUGCUAAUACCGCAUAAGCGCACGGCAUCGCAUGAUGCAGUGUGAAAAACUCCGGUGGUAGAAGAUGGACCCGCGUUGGAUUAGCUAGUUGGUGAGGUAACGGCCCACCAAGGCGACGAUCCAUAGCCGACCUGAGAGGGUGACCGGCCACAUUGGGACUGAGACACGGCCCAAACUCCUACGGGAGGCAGCAGUGGGGAAUAUUGCACAAUGGGCGAAAGCCUGAUGCAGCGACGCCGCGUGAGCGAAGAAGUAUUUCGGUAUGUAAAGCUCUAUCAGCAGGGAAGAUAAUGACGGUACCUGACUAAGAAGCACCGGCUAAAUACGUG